UGCAGAGUUUCACAGUGACAGCAAACACAGA
rnacentral:piRNA from 1 species